rnacentral:rRNA from 1 species
CCUACGGGUGGCAGCAGUGAGGAAUAUUGGUCAAUGGCCGGAAGGCUGAACCAGCCAUGCCGCGUGAAGGUCAGUGCCCUAUGGGCGUUAAACUUCUUUUGUGCGGGAGCAAUAAUGGUCACGUGUGGCCAGACGAGAGUACCGUACGAAUAAGCAUCGGCUAACUCCGUGCCAGCAGCCGCGGUAAUACGGGGAAUGCAAGCGUUAUCCGGAGUUAUUGGGGUUAAAGGGUGCGUAGGCUGUGAGGUAAGUCAGCGGUGAAAUGCCCCCGCUCAACGGGGUGAAGUGCCAUUGAUACUGCCUUGCUGGAAUGCGGAUGCCGUGGGAGGAAUGUGUGGUGUAGCGGUGAAAUGCAUAGAUAUCACACAGAACACCGAUUGCGAAGGCAUCUCACGAAUCCGCGAUUGACGCUGAUGCACGAAAGCGUGGGUAUCAAACAGGAUUAGAUACCCCUGUAGUC